UACGAAGGGGGCUAGCGUUGUUCGGAAUUACUGGGCGUAAAGCGCACGUAGGCGGAAUGUUAAGUCAGGGGUGAAAUCCCGGGGCUCAACCCCGGAACUGCCUUUGAUACUGGCAUUCUCGAGUCCGGAAGAGGUGAGUGGAAUUCCGAGUGUAGAGGUGAAAUUCGUAGAUAUUGGGAAGAACACCGGUGGCGAAGGCGGCGAGCUGGUCCAUUACUGACGCUGAGGCGCGACAGCGUGGGGAGCAAACAGG
rnacentral:rRNA from 1 species